rnacentral:lncRNA from 1 species
CCUAGCCAUUCAAAACCCUGAAGUGUAUGUUGGCUGUAGCAUAUUCAAUAUAGGAAUCAGAUUGCACCAAGAUGGGAUCUAUCAACCUCAGUAGAUGAGAGCAGUAGUCCUAUGAUGAUCGAAAGAUUGAGUCCUUAAGCCCAUGGCCAUGGCAGAGUGAAAUAAUGAAAAAGAAUUUUCCAUUGAGGUUUCACAUCGGACU